rnacentral:rRNA from 1 species
AGUGAACGCUGGCGGUAGGCCUAACACAUGCCAGUCGAACGGCAGCACAGUAAGAGCUUGCUCUUACGGGUGGCGAGUGGCGGACGGGUGAGGAAUACAUCGGAAUCUACUUUUUCGUGGGGGAUAACGUAGGGAAACUUACGCUAAUACCGCAUACGACCUACGGGUGAAAGCAGGGGAUCUUCGGACCUUGCGCGAUUGAAUGAGCCGAUGUCGGAUUAGCUAGUUGGCGGGGUAAAGGCCCACCAAGGCGACGAUCCGUAGCUGGUCUGAGAGAAUGAUCAGCCACACUGGAACUGAGACACGGUCCAGACUCCUACGGGAGGCAGCAGUGGGGAAUAUUGGACAAUGGGCGCAAGCCUGAUCCAGCCAUACCGCGUGGGUGAAGAAGGCCUUCGGGUUGUAAAGCCCUUUUGUUGGGAAAGAAAAGCAGCAGGUUAAUACCCCGCUGUUCUGACGGUACCCAAAGAAUAAGCACCGGCUAACUUCGUG